UGUUCCUGGAGAGAAACUCAUAGAACAAAGUUUUAAUUUAUCAAGCUAUCAGGGAGCACAUAAGUGGAGGCCAUAAAUCAGGAAAGCACGUGAAUUUUUUACAGUACGUGUGGAGUAGCAAGUAGUCCAACAGAGGUGGGGCUGGCGCCCUUUAGUGUAACACGAUGGCCUCGCUAUGCUCUUACACAAUUACCCAUUAAUCUCUAAAGAACAGUUCUUUAUACGGAAGGACAAGAACCAAGGUAUUAAUCUUUAGUGUCUACAUACACACAACAGGAAACACCUACUUUCAUUUAUAACCCUUAGCUUCUGAACUUUAGGCGGAUGAGACUCGGUCCAAAGGCAGCCGCGCCUUGCCAGGCAGCCUGGUGGGUCUGGGUGUGUAAGUCUGGCUGAGACCAUCGGGGCAGGCCGCGGGGCUCGCGUCACAGCAGAGAGGGCAUCUGCAAUCCGACGGAGGUCAGCGCAGAGCAGAAAUGCAUCUGGACAACAGAAGCGCCGCGACUGCGGGGGUGCCGCGCAGAGAAGACUUGCCACGAACAUAAUCCCUUUCACGAGAUCCAGCCAAACUUCCCUGUGAACAUCUGUCUCCUGAAGCAUCCCACCGCUGCCCUAAAUUCUAACGGGUGGCUCUAAACCAGAUACUCACAUCGUCUGACCUCAGAAUUAUCUUCCAUGAAGGAUGUCUGGCUAAAAGCCCCAUUCUGGAAUGAGAGUCCUGCCGCCUCCUCCAGUGACGGUCCUUCAGGGAUCCAGAGUCUCCUGCCUCCUCCUUUCCUUCUGAUUAAACCACUUCUCCUCAAGCACCAGCAUUCAAGGUAAAUUUUUUUGAACUGUUGUUGGUCAUAAAGAGGAAUGAAGCGCUGACACGCCACAACUUGGACGGACCUUGAAGACGUUACACUGAGUGAGUGGAGCCAGUCGCAGAAGCCCAUGUGUCAUAGGAUUCCGUUUAUAUAAAUGCCCAGUACAGGGAAACUACAGACACAGAAAUAGAUGAGUGGUUGCUCAGGGCGGGGCCGGGGGCGUGGGAAGGUGACAGCUAAAGGGUGCAAGGUUCCUUCCUGAGGUGACAAAAAUGUUUUAACGUCGACUGUGGUGUUGGUUGCACACACACGAGUAUACGAAAAUCCACUGAACUGUACACUUUAAAUGAACAAAUGGUAAUACAUGUGAGUGUUAUGUCAAUAAAGCUGCUUAAAAUUAAAAAAAUUAUGAACUAUUUUAUACAAAAUCAUACAUAUGGUAUAAAGAAAGAUAACAUAAACGCCCUUUACCUAUCACCUUCUUAAUAAAUCACGCUUCAUCACCACCUUUAAAGCCGUCCGCACAGCCCUUCUGAAACACCACCCUUUGCCUCCUCACCCAGGAAAAUCACUCAUUUGAUGUUGAAAAAAUAGAUUGUUCCUUUGACUUUCAUUAUAGUUUUACUACAUAUGUAUGUAUCUGUAAACACUGUUUAACUUUAUAAGUUUUAAACUUUCUAGGGGCUGGCCCACAGUGCAGUGGUCAAGUUCCACGAGCUCUGCUUUGGUUGCCCAGGGUUUGCAGUUUGGACCCCGGAUGUGGACCCCACACCACUCAUCACCCAUGCUGUGGUGGUGGCCUACAUACGAAAUAGAGGAAGACUGGCACAGAUGUUAGCUCAGCGACAAUCUUCGUCAGCCAAAAAAAACCUUUCCACAAACGUGCUGUACUUCCGUAACUUGAGUUUUUCAUUCAACACAUUAUUUUUGACAGCCUUCCAUGUUCUAAAUAGUUUCUCCUUCAAUUCUAUGUAUUACUUAUUAAUUACCCUCUAAAUUGAAGACAGUGAAACCUGCCUCAGAGAGAAUUCUUGUGAGAUAAUAUAAAGUGCUUAUUGCAGUGCCUGACUCAUGAUGGGUGUUCGAUUUUUGAUAGAUACAUUAUUGUUAUAUAAUUAAUAUAUUGCUGCAAUUGCUAUAUUAUCAUAUAUGUUAUUAUAUAUAUUAGUUAUUGCUCUUUUCUGUGGGAAUAUGUAUUAUUUCAUCAGCUACAUUAUACAUUAGUAGUUUUCAAGCUAUAGUAAAAUCUGAGUUACACAGACCUUUGGGAAGUACCUUAUUCUAGAUACUUGAAUUUCUGGAUAGCUAAGAUUUAAUUUUUUUAUGGGCCAAAUUUAUUUCUAAACGUAUCUUUUUAAAUUCAAACAAACUAAAAGAAUGAACUUUAUUAAAAAUUUCAGCCAUUUCCAAAUUCUCUUCCAAACUUGUUAAUGAACAUAUCUGACAGAUUUUAAUCAGACAGCACAAAUUGUUCUGUGUUCUGCUUUAAAAUCUUCCUUCAUUUGUGCACUUCCACAUACAGACACAGCCAAUAGAAGUGCCAUUUUUCAUGACUGUUUGCUUCCCCGACUCCCAUAGUCAGAGGAGAGCAGCAGAGGAGAAAGGGCAGGAAGCAGACGGGCUCUGAGCCCUGCCCGGGAGCCCUGCUGGGAUCCUGAUCCCUCCGUGGGAGGGUCACACAGUCUCCUGGGCCAUCACUUUUUUCCACGGCAGCUGCUGGUGCCAGUUUUCAAACUGCUGCCAUCAGAGGGCAGUCUGGUCCUGUCCACCAGCACAGGUCCAGCGGUGGGGCUUCCGGGAACCCCAGUGCAGGAAACAACAGCAGGGUCAAGGGCAGGCACCAAGGGAGGCGGCCUUGGGUUUAUGACCAGCAUCUGUAACAGUUACAGUUCCCGGCCACCUCCACCCGGCUCCCACUGGUCACAAUAUGGUAAAUGACACAGGGGGUUGCUGGGGUUCCGAUGAACAUCACCCUGUCACUCCAGGAGCUUCUAGGUCAGAGAGCUCGUCCUUCCCACCACUGCACACAUCUGGAUGCAUCAGCAAGCUUGUGUGUGCACUGACCCUGUCGUUCCAGGAGCUUCUGGUCAGAGAGCUCCUUUCCCGUCACUGCACACAUCUGGACGCAUCAGCAAGCACGUGUGCGCACAGGCACUGUCACUCCAGGAGCUUCUGGGUCAGAGAGCUCAUCCUUUCCUACCACUGCACACAUCUGGAUGUAUCAGCAAGCUCGUGUGUGCAGAGGCCCUGUUGUUCCAGAAGCUUCUGGGUCAGAGAGCUCGUCCUUUCCCCACCACUGCACACAUCUGGAUGCAUCAGCAAGCUCGUGUGUGUACAGGCACUGUAAUUGUUUUGUGGAUAUGAACCCUCACACAAGAAUUAACUUAUUUACAACAAUAUUUUAACAUUUCCAAAAAGCUGAACAUUUUGAAGUUCUCUAUUUCUGUUAUUUCUAAUUUUAUUGCAUUACGUCCGGAAAUGUAAUGUGUACUAAGUGUAGUUUUUGUUUGCAAAUUAUGGUCAAAAGUAUUUCUACUUCUUUGCAAGUCUGUUGACACACUUUUUUUUAACUUUGUUACCACAUUCUUUUGAGCAUAUUCAUACAGAUCUGUUAUGUGUUCAUAGUUUCUGGCGCUUAAAAAAUUCUCACCUUUCAUUCUCCCUUCAACUUUUCCUUCUAUGCCCUUUGCUCUAGAUUCGAUGAUCUGAUAUCUAUUUGUGAGUUAAGAUUGCUUUCAGUUCUAGAUACCAGAACAUCUCACAUGUAAGUCUCAACAAGAAGGUAGGAGAGGAGGCUGAAGGAGCAGGCAGGGGCCAGGUUGUCUAAGCUCUUAUUCUCUCACAAUGAGAAGCAGUGGCAGAAUUUGAAUGGGGAGGUGGGUGGUGCAUAUCCUUGCUCUUCAUGCUUUCAAGAGGUCACUCUGCAUGCUGAGUGAAGAAUGGCUGGAGGAGGGCAAGAGAGGAAGCAGGGAGACAGUUAGGAGACUGUCCUUGGCAGGAGACCAGUAAGAGAGAAAGGCAGCUGAACCGGGUUCUAGAAAUGGAGACAGCGAGAAGCUGCAAUCAGGAUGCACGCUGCAGGCAGAGCCAACAGGACUUGCUGUGAGACUGCGUGUGGGGUGAGAAGGGAAGAGCCAAGGAUGACUCCUGGGUGCUCCCCUCAGGGAAGAGAACCCAGGCCUGGGGGUGACCAGCAGAUGGCAUUCAAAGCUGGGAGACUGGAUGGGAUCUCUCUGAGAAGAGGGGUCACAGAGCAAAGAGAAGGGG
ensembl:lncRNA